GGAAGCCGGUGGAAAUCCGGCGCGGUCGCGCCACUGUGACCGGCCUGUCCGCACGUCCGCGGAGGGGUCGCAAGCCAGAC
rnacentral:misc_RNA from 1 species